UGGGGAAUAUUGCACAAUGGGGGAAACCCUGAUGCAGCAACGCCGCGUGAAGGAAGACGGUUUUCGGAUUGUAAACUUCUGUUCUUGGUGAAGAAUAAUGACGGUAGCCAAGCAGCAAGCCACGGCUAACUACGUGCCAGCAGCCGCGGUAAUACGUAGGUGGCGAGCGUUGUCCGGAAUUACUGGGUGUAAAGGGAGCGCAGGCGGGAAAUCAAGUCAGCUGUGAAAACUACGGGCUCAACCUGGGAACUGCUUUUGAAACGGUCAUGCUUGAAUCAUGGAGAGGGUAGCGGAAUUCCGAGUGUAGAGGUGAAAUUCGUAGAUAUUCGGAAGAACACCGGUGGCGAAGGCGGCUACCUGGCCAUGUAUUGACGCUCAGGUGCGAAAGCGUGGGGAGCAAACA
rnacentral:rRNA from 1 species